rnacentral:rRNA from 1 species
UACGAAGGGGGCUAGCGUUGUUCGGAUUUACUGGGCGUAAAGCGCACGUAGGCGGAUCGUUAAGUCGGGGGUGAAAUCCUGGAGCUCAACUCCAGAACUGCCUUCGAUACUGGCGAUCUUGAGUCCGGAAGAGGUGAGUGGAACUCCUAGUGUAGAGGUGGAAUUCGUAGAUAUGUGGAGGAACACCGAUGGCGAAGGCAGCCCCCUGGGCUAACACUGACGCUCAUGCACGAAAGCGUGGGGAGCAAACAGG